rnacentral:rRNA from 1 species
UACGGAGGGAGCUAGCGUUGUUCGGAAUUACUGGGCGUAAAGCGCACGUAGGCGGCUUUGUAAGUUAGAGGUGAAAGCCCGGGGCUCAACCCCGGAAUUGCCUUUAAGACUGCAUCGCUUGAAUCCAGGAGAGGUGAGUGGAAUUCCGAGUGUAGAGGUGAAAUUCGUAGAUAUUCGGAAGAACACCAGUGGCGAAGGCGGCUCACUGGACUGGUAUUGACGCUGAGGUGCGAAAGCGUGGGGAGCAUACAGG